UGGUCCCUGUGUUACCUGAAUUUAUAUUCCAUGUGAACUUGGGUGUCAAAAGGGACAUACAGUAAAAUCCAACUUUUCCACAAGCAUGUAUGGAAUCAAUCGUGUUUUGCUUACUAAGAAUUGGAUACACUA